UACAGAGGUGGCAAGCGUUGUUCGGAAUUACUGGGCGUAAAGGGCGCGUAGGUGGCCUUCUUAGUCAGGCGUGAAAUCCCCAGGCUUAACCUGGGAACUGCGUCUGAUACUGGAAGGCUCGAGUUCGGGAGAGGAAUGUGGAAUUCCAGGUGUAGCGGUGAAAUGCGUAGAUAUCUGGAGGAACACCGGUGGCGAAGGCGGCAUUCUGGACCGAAACUGACGCUGAGGCGCGAAAGCCAGGGGAGCAAACGGG
rnacentral:rRNA from 1 species